UACGGGGGGGGCAAGCGUUGUUCGGAAUUACUGGGCGUAAAGGGCUCGUAGGCGGCCAACUAAGUCGGACGUGAAAUCCCCAGGCUCAACCCUGGGAACUGCGUCCGAUACUGGAUGGCUUGAAUCCGGGAGAGGGAUGCAGAAUUCCAGGUGUAGCGGUGAAAUGCGUAGAUAUCUGGAGGAAUACCGGUGGCGAAGGCGGCAUCCUGGACCGGCAUUGACGCUGAGGAGCGAAAGCCAGGGGAGCAAACGGGG
rnacentral:rRNA from 1 species